UUAGCUCUCUUUGCCUUUUGGCUUAGAUCAAGUGUAGUAUCUGUUCUUUUCAGUUUAAUCUCUGAAACGUGUCUACGGACACAUUCGUGAUUAAUCUAGUUUUUGGACUCCGGGAGACGGCCGCUGAGCUUGCUCAUGUCGCCUCCCACAGUGUCGCCCGUAUUGCACUGCCUCGGGCUGACGCGAACUCCG
rfam:Neofusicoccum parvum TCRNP2 chromosome Tnknown NP2_03_scaffold_244, whole genome shotgun sequence.